rnacentral:tRNA from 4 species
UCCUCGGUAGCUCAACGGUGGAGCAUCCGGCUGUUAACCGGAGGGUUGUAGGUUCGAAUCCUACCCGAGGAGCCA